rnacentral:SRP_RNA from 2 species
GCCAGGCAUGGUGGUGCAUGCCUGUAGUCCCAGCUACUAAGGAGGCUGAGGCAGGAGAAUGGCUUGAACCCAGGAGGUGGAGGUUGCAGUGAAUAAAGAUCGUGCCACUGCACUCCAGCCUGGGUGACAGAGCAAGAAUCUGUCUCAA